GCGGAGGAAAAGAAACUAACAAGGAUUCCCCUAGUAACUGCGAGUGAAGCGGGAAAAGCUCAAAUUUAAAAUCUGGCAGUCUUUGGCUGUCCGAGUUGUAGUCUGGAGAAGCGUCUUCCGCGCUGGACCGUGUACAAGUCUCCUGGAACGGAGCGUCAUAGAGGGUGAGAAUCCCGUCUUUGACACGGACUACCAGUGCUUUGUGAUGCGCUCUCAAAGAGUCGAGUUGUUUGGGAAUGCAGCUCAAAAUGGGUGGUAAACUCCAUCUAAAGCUAAAUAUUGGCGAGAGACCGAUAGCGAACAAGUACCGUGAGGGAAAGAUGAAAAGCACUUUGGAAAGAGAGUUAAACAGUACGUGAAAUUGCUGAAAGGGAAACGCUUGAAGUCAGUCGCGUCCGCUAGAACUCAGCCUGGCUUUUGCUUGGUGCAUUUUCUAGUGGACGGGCCAGCAUCACUUUUGGCCGCGGGAUAAAGGUCGCAGGAAUGUGGCACCUUCGGGUGUGUUAUAGCCUGUGAUUGUAUACCGUGGCUGGGAGUGAGGACCGCAGCACGCCUUCAUGGCGGGGGUUCGCCCACCUUCGUGCUUAGGAUGCUGGCGUAAUGGCUUUAAACGACCCGUCUUGAAACACGGACCAAGGAGUCUAACAUGCCUGCGAGUGUUUGGGUGGAAAACCCGAGCGCGUAAUGAAAGUGAAAGUUGGGACCUCUGUCGUGGAGGGCACCGACGCCCGGACCAGACCUUCUGUGACGGAUCCGCGGUAGAGCAUGUAUGUUGGGACCCGAAAGAUGGUGAACUAUGCCUGAAUAGGGUGAAGCCAGAGGAAACUCUGGUGGAGGCUCGUAGCGAUUCUGACGUGCAAAUCGAUCGUCAAUUUGGGUAUAGGGGCGAAAGACUAAUCGACCAUCUAGUAGCUGGU
rnacentral:rRNA from 1 species